AACGAACGCUGGCGGCAUGCCUAACACAUGCAAGUCGAACGAGACCUUCGGGUCUAGUGGCGCACGGGUGCGUAACGCGUGGGAACCUGCCCUUAGGUUCGGAAUAACUCCCCGAAAGGGGUGCUAAUACCGGAUAAUGUCUUCGGACCAAAGAUUUAUCGCCUUUGGAUGGGCCCGCGUUGGAUUAGCUAGUUGGUAGGGUAAAAGCCUACCAAGGCGACGAUCCAUAGCUGGUCUGAGAGGAUGAUCAGCCACACUGGGACUGAGACACGGCCCAGACUCCUACGGGAGGCAGCAGUGGGGAAUAUUGGACGAUGGGCGAAAGCCUGAUCCAGCAAUGCCGCGUGAGUGGUGAGGGCCGUAGGGUUGUAAAGCUCUUUUACCCGGGAUGAUAAUGACAGUACCGGGAGAAUAAGCUCCGGCUAACUCCGUG
rnacentral:rRNA from 1 species